UUGGUUAAAGAAGUAUAUUAGUGCUGACUUUCCUCUGUUCGUCCUACCUUUUCUCUUCUAUCAACCCCACAAGCCUUUGGCACAAUGAAGUGGGUGACUUUUAUUUCCCUUCUCUUUCUCUUCAGCUCUGCUUAUUCCAGGGGUGUGUUUCGUCGAGAUACAUACAAGAGUGAAAUUGCUCAUCGGUUUAAAGAUUUGGGAGAACAAUAUUUCAAAGGCCUAGUGCUGAUUGCCUUUUCUCAGCAUCUCCAGCAAUGCCCAUAUGAAGAGCAUGUGAAAUUAGUGAGGGAAGUAACUGAGUUUGCAAAAACAUGUGUUGCUGAUGAGUCAGCUGAAAAUUGUGACAAGUCAAUUCACACUCUCUUUGGAGAUAAAUUAUGUGCAAUUCCAUCCCUUCGUGAACACUAUGGUGACUUGGCUGACUGCUGUGAAAAAGAAGAGCCUGAGAGAAACGAAUGCUUCCUCCAACACAAAAAUGAUAACCCCGACAUCCCUAAAUUGAAACCAGACCCUGUUGCUUUAUGCGCUGACUUCCAGGAAGAUGAACAGAAGUUUUGGGGAAAAUACCUAUAUGAAAUUGCCAGAAGACAUCCCUAUUUCUACGCCCCAGAACUCCUUUAUUAUGCCAUUAUAUAUAAAGAUGUUUUUUCAGAAUGCUGCCAAGCUGCUGAUAAAGCUGCCUGCCUGUUACCAAAGAUUGAGCAUCUGAGAGAAAAAGUACUGACUUCCGCCGCCAAACAGAGACUUAAGUGUGCCAGUAUCCAAAAAUUCGGAGAGAGAGCUUUCAAAGCAUGGUCAUUAGCUCGCCUGAGCCAGAGAUUUCCCAAGGCUGACUUUACAGAGAUUUCCAAGAUAGUGACAGAUCUUGCAAAAGUCCACAAGGAAUGCUGCCAUGGUGACCUGCUUGAAUGUGCAGAUGACAGGGCGGAUCUUGCCAAAUAUAUAUGUGAAAAUCAAGACACAAUCUCCACUAAACUGAAGGAAUGCUGUGAUAAGCCUCUGUUGGAAAAAUCCCACUGCAUUGCUGAGGCAAAAAGAGAUGAAUUGCCUGCAGACCUGAACCCAUUAGAACAUGAUUUUGUUGAAGAUAAGGAAGUUUGUAAAAACUAUAAAGAAGCAAAGGAUGUCUUCCUGGGCACGUUUUUGUAUGAGUAUUCAAGAAGGCACCCAGACUACUCUGUCUCAUUGCUGCUGAGAAUUGCCAAGAUAUAUGAAGCCACACUGGAGGACUGCUGUGCCAAAGAGGAUCCUCCGGCAUGCUAUGCCACAGUGUUUGAUAAAUUUCAGCCUCUUGUGGAUGAGCCUAAGAAUUUAAUCAAACAAAACUGUGAACUUUUUGAAAAACUUGGAGAGUAUGGAUUCCAAAAUGCGCUCAUAGUUCGUUACACCAAGAAAGUACCCCAAGUGUCAACUCCAACUCUUGUGGAGGUCGCAAGAAAACUAGGACUAGUGGGCUCUAGGUGUUGUAAGCGUCCUGAAGAAGAAAGACUGUCCUGUGCUGAAGACUAUCUGUCCCUGGUCCUGAACCGGUUGUGCGUGUUGCACGAGAAGACACCAGUGAGCGAAAAAGUUACCAAAUGCUGCACAGAGUCCUUGGUGAACAGACGGCCUUGCUUUUCUGCUCUGACACCAGAUGAAACAUACAAACCCAAAGAAUUUGUUGAGGGAACCUUCACCUUCCAUGCAGACCUAUGCACACUUCCUGAGGAUGAGAAACAAAUCAAGAAGCAAACUGCACUCGUUGAGUUGUUGAAACACAAGCCUCAUGCAACAGAGGAACAACUGAGAACUGUCCUGGGCAACUUUGCAGCCUUUGUACAAAAGUGCUGCGCCGCUCCUGACCAUGAGGCCUGCUUUGCUGUGGAGGUACUGGAUUUGUUUGUCUUCAUUCUAAUGGGUCCAGUUUCCUUUGUUGUUGCAUUUGAUCAAGCUAGGACUUAGUGGCUUAUGUAUCUGAAAAACACUAUGUACAUGCGGAAUGAGAAUCUUACUCUUCAUUGUCUUACAAAAUGACUGAGAUAGCUCUUGCUUUUGUUUGUUUUAAUAUCCUGCUUCACUGUAACUUAUUACUAAAUGUCUGUAAUAAUUGUUUUGUUUCCAAAGUUGUGAUGUUUAUAAAUAUAGAUAGAAAUAUUUGUAAGGCCCAAAAUCUUGUUAUGAAACCAAAACAUUAAUUUAUUUAAACAUUCUCUUGAAAAAUGCUGGUUGGUGAUCUGGAUGAAUCCGAAUGCUUGAUUUUACAGGUGACUGGGGAAGUUUAUAUUUAAAUGGCUGAAUCAUUUAACGUUUAUCCCUAUGAUUUGACAGUAAUUUUUUUAUUCCUUUGGGGGCAGUGAUACCAGUGAACUUCCUUCUAGAGAGUCUAGUACUAAACAGGAAUUAGAGGAUGUGAUGUAUGUAAAAUUACUUCGUAAUCACCAAUGACUUAGUAAAUGUUACUUUUUUAAAAUCCUAAUAAUGGUGCUAAUAUUUUCUCCAUACCUGUCAUUUCUUUGUAUUUAGGGUCCGAAAUUUGUUAUUGAAAUUCGAGGGAUCUUAGCCUAAACAACACAGUGACAAGCAUCUCAGCCUACCCUGAGAAUAAGAGAAAGAGAAAUGAAGACCUAGACUUAUCCAUCUCUUUUUCUUUUCUGUUGGUUUUAAACCAACACCCUGUCUAAAGUACACAAAUUUCUUUAAAUAUUUUGCCUCUUUUCUCUGUGCUACAAUUAAUAAAAAAAUGAAAAGAAUCUAA